AACAGUUGGUCAAACCAUUACCACGACUGGUAGCUCAAUCAUCAACUUUCACCAGAUACUCCAUUUCCAUUACCACAACUGGUAGCUAGCUCAACUCACCUUGAUCGGUAAUUCCUCCCUCUCUCUUCCCAGGAUUUUCCUCUGAAUUAUAAUCCAAUAUCUUCGACACUCCCGAUAAUGCCCUCGCCUUCCAACUCGUCUUCCUAUUCUUCCUCCUCCGACGAGCAAAACCCUAAUUCUGCCCCUAACCCCAACCCUCCCUCAAUUGACCAGUCCCUCGACGCUAUCGAGAAUCAGCUAGCCUCAAUUUCAACGUUUCAACCGGGUUCCUUGCUGGAGCCCGAGUCGGAGUUCGGUGUCAACGAUGAUGAAAUUCGAGAGGAAUUGGUGAAUGGAUCGAUAAAUGAGAUCGAAGAGCUGCCGGGGAACUCAGAGGAGAAGUUGAAGGUGAGCUCGUCGAGAGUAUGGGCGAAUGUUUCGGAAAUGGAGGAAGGGGCGGCGCCGUCAAGUCCGAGUAGCAGUGGGUAUGCUGGUGAGAGAGGGAGUAGUGCCACCAGUGGAGUUGAGGAGGAUGGAAAUGAUGAUUAUAAUGACGACGAGAUUGUCGAAGUUCGGAGUAACGGUGAUUUUGACGGAGUUGCACAUUCUCCGGCUCCCUGGACUCCCGGGAAACGCCAUGGCGAUGAGGAUGAUGAUUCUAUUUCAUGGAGAAAAAGGAAGAAACAUUUCUUUAUUUUGAGUCACUCUGGAAAACCCAUUUAUUCGAGAUAUGGAGAUGAACACAAGCUAGCUGGAUUCUCUGCGACUCUACAGGCCAUUAUUUCCUUUGUGGAGAAUGGGGGAGAUCGUGUGAAAUUGGUAAGAGCAGGAAAGCACCAGGUUGUUUUUCUUGUUAAAGGACCAAUUUACCUCGUUUGUAUAAGCUGUACAGAAGAGCCAUACGAGUCACUGAGGGGGCAACUGGAGCUUCUCUAUGGUCAGAUGAUACUUAUUCUUACAAAGUCUGUAAAUAGAUGUUUCGAGAAGAAUCCAAAAUUUGAUAUGACGCCUUUGCUUGGAGGAACAGAUGUGGUCUUCUCUUCUCUCAUCCAUUCUUUCAAUUGGAACCCAGCUACUUUUCUCCAUGCAUACACUUGUCUUCCCCUUGCUUAUGCAACAAGACAAGCUGCUGGUGCAAUAUUACAAGAUGUGGCUGAUUCAGGUGUCCUGUUUGCAAUUUUAAUGUGUAGACACAAGGUUAUCUGUCUCGUUGGUGCACAAAAAGCAUCCCUUCAUCCUGAUGACAUGCUUCUUCUCUCUAAUUUUGUUGUAUCAUCUGAAUCAUUUAGGUAUGUGCAAUCACUGACUGAUCUUUUAUAUGUCAUUCUAUGGCGCUUCUGCUUUUGCCCUGACUAUAUUCUCAUAUCAGUAUUGUCUUUGUAUAGGACAUCUGAAUCUUUCUCACCAAUUUGCCUACCAAGAUAUAAUCCCAUGGCAUUUCUAUAUGCAUAUGUCCACUAUUUUGAUGUUGACACCUACUUGAUAUUGCUCACUACAAGUUCAGAUGCUUUUUACCACCUUAAGGAUUGCAGGAUUCGUAUUGAGACUGUACUUUUGAAGUCGAAUGUACUCGUCGAAGUUCAGAAAUCCAUGCUGGAAGGUCGCAUGCAUGUUGAGGAUUUGUCUACGAACCCUGCUUCUCAUCCUGGAAUUGCAUCCCCUCACUUAAGUCAAUCUAGGCUUGCAACUGAUUCCACAGAGAGGUUGACAGAGUUUAUUGGUGUUGGUGGUCCUGCUGGGCUAUGGCAUUUCAUGUACCGCAGUAUUUAUCUUAACCAGUAUGUAUCAUCUGAAUUUGCAUUACCAAUCAAUAGCUUGCGACAGCAGAAAAGGUUAUAUAGAGCUUAUCAGAAGCUUUAUGCAUCCAUGCAUGAAAAAGAUGUUGGACCACAUAAAACCCAGUUCAGAAGGGAUGAAAACUAUGCACUGCUUUGCUGGGUCACUCAAGAUUUUGAGCUAUAUGCGGCAUUUGAUCCCCUCGCAGACAAGGCUUUGGCUAUAAAAGCUUGCAACCGGGUUUGUCAAUGGGUGAAAGACGUAGAGAAUGAAAUUUUCCUGUUGGGAGCAAGCCCUUUUUCGUGGUGAUAUUUCUUUAUUUAUAUAGGUAUACAGGACGCACUCGAGUUCAUUACUGCCUCGUCCUAAUAAAAUCUAGCCUGAUUUUUUGAUGGGCUCUGUAUUAUAGGGCUUCCAUAUUUAUAUUUUUCACACGGCAUGAUAUGCCAAUUCUGUAGCAGAGUCAUUUUUGUAUUCAGAUUAUGAUCCUUUUGUAGCCCAUUAUUCAGUAUAUUAAGGGCGGCUAUAUGCGGUUUCACAAGACAGGCUUUUCGGUUUCAAGACUCGGGAAGCUUUUCGAUUCUGCCAAUCAAGAGUACGCAUCUCACUUCUUAGCUGAUUUCUUGAGACAGUCGACAUUCGGUUCGCAUGAUUGACAUUGAGAGUUGCCUUUCAAUUUGUCGAGAAAGAAUGAAAAGAUCCCUCUCAGAGAUCGUUUAGGAGCACUUUAUAUUCUGCUUUUUGGGGGGUCAGCUUAACCUUCUUCGGAGACUGGAAUGAAGUUGUUCCCCACUAAUAACGAAAAUGGUCCUCCAGAAUUAUGGUUUGAGUGAGGAGUCGGGCAUUGGUAAAAAACGCGGUUAAUAGUGAUGCUUUUGUACUUUGGACUUCUCUCCACGUUGAAUAUUCCACGGCUCUUUUAGGAAUGAUGGGACUCCUUUAGUUAUUGGAGUCAAAAGAGUAGCUAGUAGUGUUAUUCAAGACCUUUGAUUCUGUGAAAGUGGUCGAGAGAAUGAUUUGUGCAGCCGUUCCGUUCCGGCAAUAUAUAUAUAUAUAUGUAUACGUUUCUUUGGGGGAUUCAAGUUUA